rnacentral:rRNA from 1 species
AUUGAACGCUGGCGGCAGGCUUUACACAUGCAAGUCGAACGAGUGGCGGACGGGUGAGUAAUGUCUGGGAAACUGCCCGAUGGAGGGGGAUAACUACUGGAAACGGUAGCUAAUACCGCAUACCAUCGGAUGUGCCCAGAUGGGAUUAGCUAGUAGGUGGGGUAAAGGCUCACCAAGGCGACGAUCCGUAGCUGGUUUGAGAGGACGACCAGCCACACUGGGACUGAGACACGGCCCAGACUCCUACGGGAGGCAGCAGUGGGGAAUUUUGCACAAUGGGGGAAAGCCUGAUGCAGCCAUCCCGCGUGUAUGAUGAAGGCCUUCGGGUUGUAAAGUACUUUCAGCAGGGAGGCGUUACCCGCAGAAGAAGCACCGGCUAACUACGUGCCAGCAGCCGCGGUAAUUC